AAAUCAAACACUUCCUUUUUAGGUUGAUGAAGCAAGUGCACCUUCAGCUCCAGAUCCAUCAGAACCGCACUUACGUGAACGUGGGACAGGCUUUUGUUUUGAUUCUAGUUUUGUGCACAUCAAGAAAUGUCCACUCUGUGAAGUGAUGUUUCCUCCUAACUACGAUCAAAGCAAGUUUGAAGAACAUGUUGAAAGUCACUGGAAGGUGUGUCCAAUGUGCCGUGAACAGUUUCCUCCUGAUUUUGACCAGCAAACCUUUGAAAACCAUGUUCAAACACACUUUGAUCAUGUUUUAAAUUUUGAUUAGGUUGGGGUAUCAUUAUGCAUUAUAACAGGUUACGGUUGCUUAAGGUAUCUCAAACAAGGAAAUGCUUCAUGAAUGAUGUAAGCUUAGAAAAUUAGUGAUCAGCAUUGCAGUUGAUUAGAAUAAAUAUUUGGCCUAUUCCUCAAUCUAGCAUAUAGCCAAAUAUGUUGUAUCUAUCAAUAGUUAUUCCUUGGCUAACAAUUCAUAAACAUAGAAAAUUUGCAGACGUCUCCAGAAUUCAAUUUGUGGUGGGAUGACAGUUUUCCUCUUGCUUGUUCUAACAUAUUAAAGUUCAUUUCUCAAUAGAAUGAUGUUUUUGAAUAAUUUUAUGUACAUCUUUCUGCAAUGUGGGUUUUUCAUCUGUUGCAAAUACAUAGUUGUGUUGUGAUUAAAUGUUUUGCAGAAAAGCCUUACAAUAGUAUUCACCUUUAUUAUUAUCCCAAUUUUAAAACGUCCAAUAUACUACUACAACUAUAAAAAUUACUGCAUUUAGAGCUGCAUAAUGUGUAAUAAAAUUAUAACCUUUUUGUUACUUAGUAAAUUGUUUAAAACCCUUCAAUAGAUAUUCAAAGCUGUGUUCAUACAAUCAAUAUUUUUAGUAUUUUAUGCUUACCACAUUUUCCCCUUAAAUUUGUUGAAUGUUUGUAUAUAUCUAAACCACUAUAUUUUUAAGAGUUGCAGAAAUCUUAAAUAAUUUGAUCUUUUUGGAUAAAAACAUUAACUUUUCAUGUUUUAUGAUAGCAAAUUAAAGGAAAAAGUAAACUGUGUGUGAUUUCAUUUAAUCUCCUUAUAUUUUUCAAACCUGUAUCAAAUCUUGCUUGAGUCUUCUAGGAAAUGUUUUGUAAACUAUUGCAAAUGAAAAAAUUGCCACAAUCACUCUUUAAUAGAAUAAAAUUAUCUUUCACUUAAU